rnacentral:misc_RNA from 1 species
AUGUCGCUGAGGCUUCUGCGCCCUAUACGAGCAGCAUGCUGCCUCAGACCCUCCCAAUUAUCGGCAUUGCCACCCUCUCCGGAUUCGCAGGCCUCGGUUACGAGAUCGUCUGGACCCGGAUGCUGGCGGUCUCGCUGGGGCAUGAGAUCGUUGCCGUGCUCGGUGUCAUUUCGGCGCUGUUCGCCGGCCUUGCACUCGGCAGCAUGGUCCCAGGGCGACAGAUCGCGG